UGGGGAAUUUUGCGCAAUGGGCUAACGCCUGACGCAGCAACGCCGCAUGAGUGAGGAAGGCCUUCGGGUUGUAAAGCUCUGUCAGGUGGGAAGAACGGCCUCGGGUCCAAUAGGCCUGAGGAUUGACGGUACCAUCAAAGGAAGCACCGGCCAACUUCGUGCCAGCAGCCGCGGUAAUACGAAGGGUGCAAGCGUUACUCGGAUUUACUGGGCGUAAAGCGCGCGCAGGCGGAUAGGUAAGUCAGAUGUGAAAUCUCGGGGCUCAACCCCGAAACUGCGUCUGAAACUGCUUAUCUAGAGUCUCGAAGGGGGAAGUAGAAUUUCGCAUGUAGGGGUAAAAUCCGUAGAGAUGCGAAGGAAUACCAGAGGCGAAGGCGACUUCCUGGGCGAAGACUGACGCUGAGGCGCGAAAGCGUGGGGAGCAAACAGG
rnacentral:rRNA from 1 species